rnacentral:lncRNA from 1 species
AAACCCUAACCCUUGAAUUGCCCUAACCCUAAUUAACCCUAAACUCUAAAAUACCCUAAACCCUGAAUUACCCUAAACCCUAAUUUACCCUAACCCCUAAAUUACCCUAACCCUAAACCCGAAUCACCCUAAACCCUAAACCUGAAUAACCCUAAACCCUAACCGCUGAAUUGCCCUAACCCUAAUUAACCAUAAACUCUAAUAUACCCUAGACCCUGAAUUACCCAAAACCUUAAACCUAAUCACCCUAAGUCCUAACCCCAAACCCUAAAUCUGAAUAACCCCACACCCAAACCUCUAAAC